rnacentral:rRNA from 1 species
UACGAAGGGGGCUAGCGUUGCUCGGAAUCACUGGGCGUAAAGGGUGCGUAGGCGGGUCUUUAAGUCAGGGGUGAAAUCCUGGAGCUCAACUCCAGAACUGCCUUUGAUACUGAGGAUCUUGAGUUCGGGAGAGGUGAGUGGAACUGCGAGUGUAGAGGUGAAAUUCGUAGAUAUUCGCAAGAACACCAGUGGCGAAGGCGGACUCACUGGCCCGAUACUGACGCUGAGGCACGAAAGCGUGGGGAGC